GACGAACGCUGGCGGCGUGCUUAACACAUGCAAGUCGAACGAAGAGCGAUGGAAGCUUGCUUCUAUCAAUCUUAGUGGCGAACGGGUGAGUAACGCGUAAUCAACCUGCCCUUCAGAGGGGGACAACAGUUGGAAACGACUGCUAAUACCGCAUACGAUCUAAACUCGGCAUCGAGGAUAGAUGAAAGGUGGCCUCUACAUGUAAGCUAUCACUGAAGGAGGGGAUUGCGUCUGAUUAGCUAGUUGGAGGGGUACCGGCCCACCAAGGCGAGGAUCAGUAGCCGGUCUGAGAGGAGGAACGGCCACAUUGGGACUGAGACACGGCCCAGACUCCUACGGGAGGCAGCAGUGGGGAAUCUUCCGCAAUGGACGAAAGUCUGACGGAGCAACGCCGCGUGAGUGAUGACGGCCUUCGGGUUGUAAAGCUCUGUUAAUCGGGACGAAAGGCCUUCUUGCGAAUAGGGAGAAGGAUUGACGGUACCGGAAUAGAAAGCCACGGCUAACUACGUG
rnacentral:rRNA from 1 species